ensembl:lncRNA
GUCUCACAUACCAAAUGCCAUCCUCCACUUCAGUCUUUUUACUAGCAAUGCCUGCUUCAGGAAUGCCCUGGUCCUGGAGACCAGGGGUGAUUAUGUGUAGCAAAGGCAGGUGGACCCUCAGCGGAAGAGGAUAAAGCUGCAAAUAUUUUAGUAAACUUAAUUAUGGAAGUAUGUAAGUCUUAUGUAUACGUACAUCCCUGUGCCCUGAUGAGAUGCAUCCACAACUGAAGGAGUUGGCAGGUGUGAUUGCAAGGUCAUACAGUCACGUUUGAUUGUGGCACCUGGGAGGAGUCCCCAAAGACUGGAAGAAAGCAGCCCUGUCUUCAAGCAGGGCAAGAAAGAGGACCCACGACACAACUAACCAGCCAGACUCACCUUGAUUCCUGAGGUGAUCACAGAAUCGCAGAACCAUGAAUUUGAGUUGGAAGGGAACUGAAAGCCCAUCCUGCUCCAAUCCCCCCGCCACAGGCUGGUUGCCAACCUGUAGAUCGUGCUGCCCAGUAUGGAGGCACCCAUAGCUUCUGUGGGCAGCCUGUUCCAGGCAAAUUACUUUGCUCUCUUCACUUCGGCCACAUCCAUCUCCUUGCAUUUGGCUCCACAGGGAGCUGAAGCAUGCCAGCAUACUACGCCUUUUCUACUUGUGUAACACAGCAUAUAGCCAUUCUUGUGGUUCACCUGAGCCUAGACUUUUCCCCCUGGACAUCCAAUCUGAGUUCUCUUGCCCUGUCUUUCAUAGCUGCCAUGAUUCAGGUCACAGGGUUUAUUUACAGCUAUCCAGUUAAUAGUUCCAUCAACAGGAACCGGAGCUGAAGUAACUACGCUUAAAAAGGACUCCUUAAAUCCAUACAGACAGUAGGCAAAAAGGAAAACACAGUACCUCAUCACUGAUUUUUACCAUCACCUUUCCUUUAAGUCUCUGCAAAGUGGUUAUUUUGUCCUCUCUUCUCUCAGGCUGAACACAGGUGUUACCAAGCUGCCCAGAAUCACAGUCAGGCCACCUCACCCAAGUUCAUUGCUCAGAAUCCUCUGCAACAUCAGCCACCUAUGAACAUUAU